GCCAUGGUGUGCCCAGCAGGGCUCCUGUGCCCGAGGGGACAGGCAGAUGUCCCAGAUGCCACCACCAACGCCUGCCCUCAGGGACACUUCUGUCCCCAGGGAGAUGCUGCUCAGCCUUGCCCCAAUGGCACCUAUGGUGAGCACAGGGGGCUGAGCAGCGCUGCUGGAUGCUCACCCUGCCCUGCAGGGAAGUUCUGCUACUCUGAUGGGCCAGAGCCUUCAGGAAUUCCUCACCCUUGCAGGCUGGGAAAGACAGUUCAAAGGUGAAGAAUUGCUGCUGCUCCUCUUCUAAUGAGUUUUGGGAUUUUUC
rnacentral:lncRNA from 1 species